ensembl:lncRNA
GGAAUAUAUCGUCAUUCCCAAACAUUCUAUGAAUUUAUGAAAACGUGAGAAUGACCAUAUCUCUCUUGUCAAAAUGUUCUUUAUUUAAGGUGUCAUGUUCUUCCUGGGAUGUAUAUGAGCAGAUUUGAAUAAGAUUUCAUUUUGCUAAAAUGCUGUCAGUUCCACUUUAAUAAUGGAACACUGGUCACUUUAAUAAUGUUUACAUACUGUUUUACCCAUUUAAUAUGUAUAUACUGUAUUCUAGUCAAGGCCAUCCUAGCCAACUAUUGCUGUACAUAUACUAUUCUAUCCUUCAGAUAUACUACUUAUUCUAUCCACAUUGACUAAAGACAUUUCAGCUUUUAAUUUAAUUAAUUAAUUUGGAAACAUUUCUAAAAACAUAAUUCCACUGACAUUAUGGGGUAUUGUGUGUAGGCCAGUGACAAACUCAAAAUGUAAUCCAUUCAGGCUCUAACACAACAACAUGUGGAAAAGGUUAAGGGGUGUGAAUACUUUCUGAAGACAAUGUACAUUACUUUCAAUGCAGAUACCUGGGAGGCCUAGAAAAAUGAUACAAGGGAUGGCUCCAUAAAAUAAUAAAAAUAACAUUAAAAUAUAACCAUACAUAUGUGUGUGUCACAUGCACGCUUUCAUACAUGUAUGUCUUUAUAAUCAUGUGAUUCAUAGACUUACUGAAAGCAAGUGCAACACACAAAAACGAAAAUGCAAUAUUGAUUGAAUUUAUUUGAUACAAAAAAGGGCACUCCAGACAGUGACGCCUCCACCUACUAUUUAAGAAAAUCAUCAAGGAUAACACAAAUCUUGAAAACGUAAAAAAAACGUCUUGAAAACGUAGUUCCAUUGUUGUCCUUAACACUUCUCUGAAGUCCCCUGAGUGAAUAAAGCAACCUUGUUUCUACUUCUUACAGUUUCCACCCGCAAUGGGUUUCCUGGGGUAACAUGUAACCUCUUACAUUUGUAGGCCUUUUGUUAUAUAGUUACCACUUGCCAUGGGUUUCAUUAGGUAAACAGCAACAUGAAACAACCAGGCCUUGAAUCUUGAGCCUUGUUACAGUCUAUCGCCCUUAACGGGUUAGUUGAGAUAUAGUGUAAUGUGUAAUAGUCUACCGCCCAUGACAGGCUAGCUGAGGUAUGGACCUACUCAUAAAAUGAACAACAUCCCCAUGAAUCAGAUAGUGGUUAUAGUAUGAACCAGAAUCAGAUGGGAGUUUACCCAAGGUCCUUGGCUCCCACUGAGGCCUUCACCUCUGUCACCGUGAUGAGCGUACAUUUUUUACCUUUACUUAACUAGGCAAGUUAACAGACAUGAAUGAAGCACACUUGAAUGGCGUGUAGUUUCCUUCCUCUAAAGUUUCUACUUUAUGGUUUCCACAUCAGCAACUUGUCUUACAUUUCCACCUUCAUUCCCCUACACCACAUUCACACAUAUCAGUAUAUACUUAGGUCUCAAUGAGAAAAAUAUGUACAUUUAAAAUAAGAAUACACACUUUAUACACUGAAGCCUUACAUUCCAUACAUCAAUAAUACUUUGCCCAACUGAGGCAGGCCCUGAUAUCCUAAUGUCGUUGCUCAAAUGUUCUUUAAACAUCCUGAGUGGUUGUUACAUUGGUUAUUCAGUGUGCUGAACAGAGUAUCAUAUCAAAUGGAGUCCUUACUCUACUGAGGCCUUUCUUACAAUUGUUUUCUGAAGCAGGCCCUGAUAUACUCAUGCCAAGGGCACAUGAUAUCUUUAACUUGAACCCAAACACCAGAUGUGCUUGGGAGGAAGAUGCUACAAGCUAUUUAGGUCAGAGAUGUUGUGAUGUGCUGUUUUACUUAUUUUUUUAAAGCAAAUGUUGCUGCUUUUGUUGCUUGCUUGAGUGAUUUGUGAUUCCAGGGAGCUCCAUGCUAUCAUGGCUCUAUAUAUUACUGUGUGUUGCUUUGAAUUAAUUUUGGCUAUAGGGAAUGUGAAGAGACUUCUGGUUGCAUGUCUUGUGGAAUAUGAAUGUGUUUCAGAGCUGUAUGUUAGUUGAUUGAAUAGACCGUUUUUAGUUUUAAACACAUUCAUAUUUCUUACAAAAACAAGAAGUGAUGCAGACAAUCUCUCCUCUACUUUGAGCCAGGAAGGUCAACAUGCAUUUAGUUGACAUUAGCUCUAUGUGAACAAUAAAGUGCAAGAUGUGCUGCUCUGUUUUGGGCCAGCUGUAGCUAGCUUUAGUAUGUAGCACCUAAACACAGCCUGUGUGUCUAUGUAUGCUUAUGAUUCAACCCUUUACACGUCAGCGGCCACAGCUAGUGAAAUCGCUGCAAAUCUAAACGGAGAGUUGCAGUUAGUUUCAGAAUAGGUGGUCUGUAAUAAAUGAGUCCUGAAUAUAUCUAAGACUAAGAGCAUAGUAUUUGGUACCAAUCAUUCCCUAAGGUCUAGACCUCAGCUGGAUCUGAUAAUGGAACAUCUCUCCUAUUAUGAUAUCAAUAAAAUAAAUAGUGUGUAUGUGUUGUACGGGUUGUAAAGAUGAGCUGCAAUAUUAACAACAGUAACUAGAAGAAUACAUGAGUGAUAUAGAGGUCUGUUCCUGGCAGUCUGACUCAUACUGAUGUCUGCAUGGGAAUGGCCUUGGUACUGGGAACAGUCUGAGACACACACCAACGUGCACUUGCAUGCAACAAACUCAAGUACGCUCACACAUGCACGCGCACACAGCGGCCGGACUGUCCGUAACAAAAUGUUUCCUUCCUCUUUGUGCAUGUGCCAUUAAAAAGGAGCAGGGCAAGAGUGUGUGUAGAGCAUAGUUUGUAGGCGGGCCAAAGAGAAGUGUAUGAAAUGUGUCAUGCUGGCUGGCUGACUGGGGGCCGGACUCACUUAUAACAGUGGGUGGGAAGAAAGGAGCUUCCUCCUAUUGAUAAGGAACACAGUCAGGACUGCCAGUCAGACAAGUAGACACACUACUCGCACACAUCAGAAUGGAAAGACUGGUAGACUGUCAGGUAAACUUACAGAUGGACAAACAGGCAGACAGACAUAUAGACACCAAGGUGUUCCUUCCUGGGCCCCUCUCACCAGUAGCCCUCUACCCCUGGUUCAGGUGUGUGGUUGCCUUGGUAUCAGUGAUGGGGCUCGUGAUCAUGGCUCUAUUCGUGGGGUUCUGCAUUGGGUUCUACACCCAGAGAACCACACAGGUAAGUGUGUGUGUGUGUGUGUGUGUGUGUGUGUGUGUGUAAAGUUGUAUUUCUCAUCUCUCUCUCUCUCUCUCUAGGGAAGUGGACAAGCAAAUUGCACAGAGAAAUUAAACAAGACCUUCAUACUUCAAGAGGGCAAACCGUCAGAAGAUGAAACAAGACGAAUACGACUAUGACAUCUUCAUCGCCCCAAAGGACGCCAUCUAUUUCAUCCAUGGCCAGGUGACGAUGGCAGAAGGGAAGGGGAAAGUCUACCUGUUUUGGAAACUCAAAAGCAGCCGUAAGAUCAAAACCAACAACGGAACCUGUCCUGAGAUCACCUUCGCUACGGAGGUCAAGUUGUUGAAAGGUGGUCGGGUUUACCUCGUCUUCAACACGGGCAAACCCAAACUGAAAGAGAGCACUUUCUCAGUCUACGAGCUCGUCGAGCAGUGACCGGACUGAAACAGUACAGUCUAUGAGCUCGUCGAGCAGUGACCGGACUGAAACAGUACAGUCUACGAGCUCGUCGAGCAGUGACCGGACUGAAACAGUACAGUCUACGAGCUCGUCGAGCAGUGAUCGGACUGAAACAGUACAGUCUACGAGCUCGUCGAGCAGUGGCCGGACUGAAACAGUACAGUCUACGAGCUCGUCGAGCAGUGACCGGACUGAAACAGUACAGUCUACGAGCUCGUCGAGCAGUGACCGGACUGAAACAAACACGAGCUCGUCGAGCAGUGACCGGACUGAAACAGUACAGUCUACGAGCUCGUCGAGCAGUGACCGGACUGAAACAGUACAGUCUACGAGCUCGUCGAGCAGUGACCGGACUGAAACAGUACAGUCUACGAGCUUGUCGAGCAGUGACCGGACUGAAACAGUACAGUCUAGAAGUGUUAUGCCACACUCUGUAAGAUACCGUUAGAGUUAACAACAAAACAUAAACAAUGGAGCUGAUACAUUUCUACACGCAACUUAAAAUCGUAACGUUUGCUUAAAAGAAUCGGGCAGUAAAUACCGGUACAUUACAUGCAUACGUGUUCACUUGUGUACAAUAAUUAUACAUUGAUUGUACAAAACAUUAGGAGCACCUUCCUUAUAUUGAGUUGCACCCCCUUUUGCCUUCAGAACAGCCUCAAUUCGUUGGGGCAUUUAACUCUACAAGGUGUUGAAAGCAUUCCACAGGGAUGCUGGCCCAUGUUGACUCAUGCUUCCCACAGAUGUGUCAAGUUGGCUGGAUGUCAUUUGGAUGGUGGACCAUUCUUGAUACACACAAGAAAAAUUUGAGUGUGAAAAACCCAGCAGCGUUGCAGUUCACCCUCUGAAUGGCACACAUACGCAAUCAAUGUCUCAAUUGUCUCAAGGCUUAAAAAUCAUUCUUUAACCUGUCUUCUCCCCUUCAGCUACACUGAUUGAAGUGGAUUUAACAAGUGACAUCAAUAAGGGAUUAUAGCUUUCACCUGGGUUCACCUGGUCAGUCUAUGUCAUGGAAAGAGCAGGUGUUCCUAAUGUUUUGUACACUCAGUGUAUGUGUAUACUGGUAUCGUUAUUGUAUGUUAUCAGAAUGUUAGGGGACAGGGAAUCCCAAGAAAGAAAUGCAUACCUUAUAUUUUCUACAAUAUUUUAGUUGUAAAACGUAUUGAUCAACCAGGAAGUUACAAAGUGAUUAAAUGUAAUAAUAGGAUGGUGGAAUAUGAUUGUAUGUAAAUAUGUUGUCUAUGUAAUUAUAUUGUGGUCCUCUGUAGGUCAGUUGGUAGAGCAUUUGUCUUGCAAAGCCAGGAUAGUGGGUUCGAUUCCCAGGACCACCCAUACUAAAAACAUAUAUGCACGUAAGUCGCUUUAGCUAAAUGGCAUGAUAUAAGAGGACUCUUUUAUUAUCUAAGGAAGUCUGAUCUUGCACUGUAUUAUUUUAACCCAGUGCUUUCCCUGUUAUAGUGAAUGUUCUGAAUAUUUACUAUGCUUUGGAUCAAAUAAAGUAUUUCAUAUGAAAAAACUG